rnacentral:tmRNA from 1 species
GGGGGCGUUUAGAUUCGACAGGGUUGUUGGGUCGCGAGCUGCAGGCCGAGGGUGCUGUUCCCGCGUUAAAAAACAAGCAAAAACAAACAAGUGCCAAUGACAAUGUCGUUGCAUUCCCUAACCGCGCUCUCCGCGCGGUUGCCUAACUACUUUUAGGCUAGGGACUCGCCCGGAGCUUGGCUACCCGCUCCGGAUCGGGUAAACCACGGUAGUUGCCCCCGCGCGAAAUUAGCGAUUGAUAGCGCGGCCUAAGACAUAAUCGCGAACCCGGUCGGUCGUUCGGACCAUCACCAGCGGGUCGCAAGACAACUGGCGAAAUACCGAACUAAGCUUGUAGAUGCUUUCUUCCCUCCUUCUUUGGACGCGAGUGCGAUUCUCGCCGCCUCCACCA